rnacentral:rRNA from 1 species
UACGUAGGGUCCGAGCGUUGUCCGGAAUUAUUGGGCGUAAAGGGCUCGUAGGCGGUUCGUCACGUCGGGAGUGAAAACUCGGGGCUUAACUCCGAAACUGCAUUCGAUACUGCGGUGCUUGAGGACUGGAGAGGAGACUGGAAUUCAUGGUGUAGCAGUGAAAUGCGUAGAGAUCAUGAGGAAGACCAGUGGCGAAGGCGGGUCUCUGGACAGUUCCUGACACUGAGGCACGAAGGCCAGGGGAGCAAACGGG